rnacentral:rRNA from 1 species
GAUGAACGCUGGCGGCGUGCCUAAUACAUGCAAGUCGAGCGAACGGACGAGAAGCUUGCUUCUCUGAUGUUAGCGGCGGACGGGUGAGUAACACGUGGAUAACCUACCUAUAAGACUGGGAUAACUUCGGGAAACCGGAGCUAAUACCGGAUGAUAUUUUGAACCGCAUGGUUCAAAAGUGAAAGACGGUCUUGCUGUCACUUAUAGAUGGAUCCGCGCUGCAUUAGCUAGUUGGUAAGGUAACGGCUUACCAAGGCAACGAUGCAUAGCCGACCUGAGAGGGUGAUCGGCCACACUGGAACUGAGACACGGUCCAGACUCCUACGGGAGGCAGCAGUAGGGAAUCUUCCGCAAUGGGCGAAAGCCUGACGGAGCAACGCCGCGUGAGUGAUGAAGGUCUUCGGAUCGUAAAACUCUGUUAUUAGGGAAGAACAUAUGUGUAAGUAACUGUGCACAUCUGGACGGUACCUAAGCAGAAAGCCACGGCUAACUACGG